rnacentral:rRNA from 1 species
UACGUAGGGGGCAAGCGUUUGUCCGGAAUCAUUGGGCGUAAAGAGCGCGUAGGCGGCCCUGUAAGUCCGCUGUGAAAGUCAAGGGCUCAACCCUUGGAUGCCGGUGGAUACUGAGGAUCUUGAGUCCGGGGAGAGGUGAGUGGAACUCCUAGUGUAGAGGUGAAAUUCGUAGAUAUUAGGAAGAACACCAGUGGCGAAGGCGGCUCACUGGCCCGGAACUGACGCUGAUGUGCGAAAGCGUGGGGAGCAAACAGG